GUCGGCAUCAUUUCACUACACAUGAUUGGUUAAGGUUCCUGUCCUCUGUGAUUGGCCGUCAUAAGAAGCAGCAGCAGUAACGUUCUAAUGCCAGGACAGUAGGACAGCUGCACGGCAGACCAUCAGGAGGCACAGUUAUAAAACGCUGCCAGGCGGGUGGUUGCCUUGUUAAGGAGUGCCCUGGCUAAUGAAGCUGGACCAUCUUCACAAAACCGCCUAUUCAAAUGUGGAAAAGACUUCAGGAUGGACCUGGGAGACAGAUGCAAACAGCAGAUGAGUUUGAGAGCGAUGGAGAAACACAAGGACUGUCAUUUGCCUACUGGGCAGGCCCAUCAACUCAACGGGGAGAUAAAUUCAAUUUGAAGCCUAAAUCUGACUAUCAUUGUGGAGUGCACUAUGGUAACAUCACAUGUGCAUAAUUUCUGUUUAAGAUUAAAAUACUCAGGUGCUCAAAGUGAGAAAUAGAAAUAAA